rnacentral:tRNA from 1 species
GGUUUUAUAGUCAAUUAUGAUUUUAGAUUGCAAAUUUAAAGGUAAAGUAAACUUUUAAAGCCU